GGGAAAGCACGGAGGAACUCUGACUUGGAGCCGAUUCAAAUAGGACUGAGAGAAGUAGUGGAUAAUACCAUAGAUGUUUAAUAACAGCUUGCAGACAAGGUUCAACAAGGACCUGUCAAAAGUAACUCUUCCAAAUACCAUGAUAGAGUUAAGGCAGAGGACAUCUUUGCAUUGUUUCAUUAUGAAAUAUUUCUUAAUUAUAAAAAGUUACAGAGAAAAUCAGCCAGGCACAGUGGCUCACACCUGUAAUCCCAGCACUUUGAGAGGUCAAGGUGGGUGGAUCACCUGAGGUCAGGAGUUCGAGACUAGCCUGGCUAACAUGGUGAAACCCUGUCUCUACUAAAAAUACAAAAGUUAGCCAGACAUGGUGUCAGGCACCUGUAAUCCCAGCUACUCGGAGGCUGAGGAAGGAGAAUCACUUGAAGCCGGGAGAUGGAAGCUGCAGUGAACCGAGAUCACACCACUGCACUUCAGCCUGGGCAACAGAGCGAGACUCUGUCACAAAACAAAAAAAAGAAAAAGAAAAAGAAAAUUUCAGAGAAAAUCAUGGCCAACAGUAAAUACCUGUAAAUUACCGCCAAUAUUUGUAGAGGGUUGAAUGCUGGUCCUCCCAAAGGGUAUGUCCGCAUCCUGACCCUCUGCAACCUGUGAGUGUGCCGUUAUUUGGGAACUGUCUUGGUGGAUAUAGAAAAGACAUGAUCCUCCACCAUCCGGUGGACCCUAAAUCCAACAAGUGUCCUUACAAGACAGAAAAGAGAAGACCAUGUGAAGAUGGAGGCAGAGACUGGAGCGAUACGGCCACAAGCCAAGGACGUCCUGGAGCCACCGGAAGCUGGAAAGGGCCAGGCAGGAACCCCUAGGGCCUUUGAAGGAGUGCUGCCCUGCUGGUCCCUUGGAUUCCAACUUCCGGCCUCCAAAAGGAAUUUAGAUGUCCACAAAACCGCGUGGCUUCCUGGGGAACUCUGCAAUUUUUGCUUCAUGAAUGGGCAGGAGCCCAGCAAGUCCUGCCUCUUUGCUUCUGUCCACACUUAACAGACUGGCACCCUGAGGAGUUAUUUAAUUUAGAAAAGUGCUGCCAGUACUGCCUUCUACUCUUUAUCUUAAAUAGGCAAGUCUUCCUCCUAAGAAAAGAAAUCAGAAAAAGCUCCCUGGUGAAAAG
rnacentral:lncRNA from 1 species